rnacentral:rRNA from 1 species
AUACGUAGGGAGCGAGCGUUGUCCGGAAUUACUGGGUGUAAAGGGAGCGUAGGCGGGAGGGCAAGUCAGAUGUGAAAUACAUGGGCUCAACCCAUGGGCUGCAUUUGAAACUGCAUUUCUUGAGUGAUGAAGAGGGAAGUGGAAUUCCUGGUGUAGCGGUGAAAUGCGUAGAUAUCAGGAGGAACACCGGUGGCGAAGGCGGCUUACUGGGCUGUUACUGACGCUGAGGCUCGAAAGCGUGGGGAGCAAACAGGAUUAGAUUCCCUGGUAGUCCACGCUGUAAACGAUGAUUACUAGGUGUGGGGGGACUGACCCCUUCCGUGCCGCAGUUAACACAAUGAGUAAUCCACCUGGGGAGUACGGCCGCAAGGUUGAAACUCAAAUGAAUUGACGGGG